CCUACGUGUGGCAGCAGUGGGGAAUAUUGGGCAAUGGGCGCAAGCCUGACCCAGCAACGCCGCGUGAAGGAAGAAGGCUUUCGGGUUGUAAACUUCUUUUAUUAGGGACGAAGUAAGGUACGGUACCUUGUGAAUAAGUCACGGCUAACUACGUGCCAGUAGCCGCGGUAAUACGUAGGGGGCAAGCGUUAUCCGGAUUGACUGGGUGGAAUGGUCGUGUAGGCGGGAGUGCAAGUCAGAUGUGAAAACUAUGGGCUCAACCCAUAGCCUGCAUUUGAAACUGUCCUUCUUGAGUGCAGGAGAGGCAAGCGGAACUCCGUGGGUAGCGGUGAAAUGCGUAGAUAUACGGAAGAACACCAGUGGCGAAGGCGGAUUGCUGGACAGUAACUGACGCUGAGGCGCGAAAGCGUGGGGAGCAAACAGGAUUAGAUACCCGAGUAGUC
rnacentral:rRNA from 1 species